rnacentral:rRNA from 1 species
AGUGAACGCUGGCGGUAGGCCUAACACAUGCAAGUCGAACGGCAGCACAGUAAGAGCUUGCUCUUACGGGUGGCGAGUGGCGGACGGGUGAGGAAUACAUCGGAAUCUACUUUUUCGUGGGGGAUAACGUAGGGAAACUUACGCUAAUACCGCAUACGACCUACGGGUGAAAGCAGGGGAUCUUCGGACCUUGCGCGAUUGAAUGAGCCGAUGUCGGAUUAGCUAGUUGGCGGGGUAAAGGCCCACCAAGGCGACGAUCCGUAGCUGGUCUGAGAGGAUGGGAAGCGGCACUGGAAGGGGGACGCGCACCAGAGUACUACGGGAGGGAGCAGUGGGGGAGGUGGGACAAUGGGCGAGAGUCUGAUACAGCGAUGCCGCGUAUGAGAAGGAGGCCUUCGGGUUGGAAAGAAGGUUUGUCGGGAAAGAAACGCUUGGCUCGGAUACAGUGGGGGGAUGACGGGAAAGGAAGAAGAAGAAACGGCUAACUACGUG